UACGUAGGGUGCAAGCGUUGUCCGGAAUUAUUGGGCGUAAAGAGCGUGUAGGCGCCAGGUAGGUCGGUUGUGAAAACUGGAGGCUCAACCUUCAGACGUCGACCGAAACCCCCUGGCUAGAGUCCGGAAGAGGAGAGUGGAAUUCCUGGUGUAGCGGUGAAAUGCGCAGAUAUCAGGAAGAACACCCGUGGCGAAGGCGGCUCUCUGGGACGGUACUGACGCUGAGACGCGAAAGCGUGGGGAGCGAACGGGG
rnacentral:rRNA from 1 species